rnacentral:rRNA from 1 species
UACAGGGGGUGCAAACGUUGCUCGGAAUCAUUGGGCGUAAAGCGCACGUAGGCGGUUCUUUAUGUCGGAUGUGAAAGCCCUUGGCUUAACCGAGGAAGUGCAUCCGAAACUGGCGAGCUAGAGUACGAAAGAGGAUCGCGGAAUUCCCGGUGUAGAGGUGAAAUUCAUAGAUAUCGGGAGGAACACCGGUGGCGAAGGCGGCGAUCUGGGUCGAUACUGACGCUGAGGUGCGAAAGCGUGGGGAGCAAACAGG